rfam:Nomascus leucogenys chromosome 3, whole genome shotgun sequence.
AUAUCGGCUCUUCUCAGAGCCACAAUUUCUCAUGCCCCAAACACAU